rnacentral:rRNA from 1 species
AAGGGUGACUGCGUACCUUUUGUAUAAUGGGUCAGCGACUUAUAUUUUGUAGCGAGGUUAACCGAAUAGGGGAGCCGAAGGGAAACCGAGUCUUAACUGGGCGUCUAGUUGCAAGGUAUAGACCCGAAACCCGGUGAUCUAGCCAUGGGCAGGUUGAAGGUUGGGUAACACUAACUGGAGGACCGAACCGACUAAUGUUGAAAAAUUAGCGGAUGACUUGUGGCUGGGGGUGAAAGGCCAAUCAAACCGGGAGAUAGCUGGUUCUCCCCGAAAUCUAUUUAGGUAGAGCCUUGAGCGGACACCUUCGGGGGUAGAGCACUGUUUCGGCUAGGGGUCCAUCCCGGAUUACCAACCCGAUGCAAACUACGAAUACCGAAGAGUGAUACUCAGGAGACACACGGCGGGUGCUAACGUCCGUCGUGGAGAGGGAAACAACCCAGACCGCCAGCUAAGGUCCCAAAGUCUAUAUUAAGUGGGAAACGAAGUGGGAAGGCUUAGACAGCUAGGAUGUUGGCUUAGAAGCAGCCAUCAUUUAAAGAAAGCGUAAUAGCUCACUAGUCGAGUCGGCCUGCGCGGAAGAUGUAACGGGGCUCAAAUAUAGCACCGAAGCUGCGGCAUCAGACGAAAGUCUGUUGGGUAGGGGAGCGUUCUGUAAGCGGAUGAAGGUGGUUCGAGAGGGCUGCUGGACGUAUCAGAAGUGCGAAUGCUGACAUAAGUAACGAUAAAACGGGUGAAAAACCCGUUCGCCGGAAGACCAAGGGUUCCUGUCCAACGUUAAUCGGGGCAGGGUGAGUCGGCCCCUAAGGCGAGGCUGAAAAGCGUAGUCGAUGGGAAACGGGUUAAUAUUCCCGUACUUGGAUAAACUGCGAUGUGGGGACGGAGCAGGUUAGGUUAUCGCACUGUUGGAUAUGUGCGUUUAAGUUUGUAGGUGGGAAGUUUAGGCAAAUCCGGACUUCUAUAAACACUGAGAGAUGAUGACGAGGCUCUACGGAGCUGAAGUAACCGAUACCACACUUCCAGGAAAAGCCACUAAGCUUCAGGUUUAUCUAAACCGUACUGAAAACCGACACAGGUGGUCAGGUAGAGAAUACUCAGGCGCUUGAGAGAACUCGGGUGAAGGAACUAGGCAAAAUAGCACCGUAACUUCGGGAGAAGGUGCGCCGGCGUAGAUUGUAGUCCCUNNNNNNNNNNNNNNNNNNNNNNNNNNNNNNNNNNGAGAGAUGAUGACGAGGCUCUACGGAGCUGAAGUAACCGAUACCACACUUCCAGGAAAAGCCACUAAGCUUCAGGUUUAUCUAAACCGUACUGAAAACCGACACAGGUGGUCAGGUAGAGAAUACUCAGGCGCUUGAGAGAACUCGGGUGAAGGAACUAGGCAAAAUAGCACCGUAACUUCGGGAGAAGGUGCGCCGGCGUAGAUUGUAGUCCCUUGCGGGCGAAGGUUGAACCGGUCGAAGAUACCAGCUGGCUGCAACUGUUUAUUAAAAACACAGCACUCUGCAAACACGAAAGUGGACGUAUAGGGUGUGAUGCCUGCCCGGUGCUGGAAGGUUAAUUGAUGGUGUAAUCGAAAGAGAAGCUCCUGAUCGAAGCCCCAGUAAACGGCGGCCGUAACUAUAACGGUCCUAAGGUAGCGAAAUUCCUUGUCGGGUAAGUUCCGACCUGCACGAAUGGCAUAAUGAUGGCCAGGCUGUCUCCACCCGAGACUCAGUGAAAUUGAAAUCGCCGUGAAGAUGCGGUGUACCCGCGGCUAGACGGAAAGACCCCGUGAACCUUUACUAUAGCUUGACACUGAACAUUGAAUUUUGAUGUGUAGGAUAGGUGGGAGACUUAGAAGCAGUCACGCCAGUGAUUGUGGAGUCGACCUUGAAAUACCACCCUUUAACGUUUGAUGUUCUAACGAAGAUUACGAAACGUGGUCUCGGACAGUGUCUGGUGGGUAGUUUGACUGGGGCGGUCUCCUCCCAAAGAGUAACGGAGGAGCACGAAGGUUUGCUAAUGACGGUCGGACAUCGUCAGGUUAGUGCAAUGGUAUAAGCAAGCUUAACUGCGAGACAGACAAGUCGAGCAGGUACGAAAGUAGGUCAUAGUGAUCCGGUGGUUCUGAAUGGAAGGGCCAUCGCUCAACGGAUAAAAGGUACUCCGGGGAUAACAGGCUGAUACCGCCCAAGAGUUCAUAUCGACGGCGGUGUUUGGCACCUCGAUGUCGGCUCAUCACAUCCUGGGGCUGAAGUAGGUCCCAAGGGUAUGGCUGUUCGCCAUUUAAAGUGGUACGCGAGCUGGGUUUAGAACGUCGUGAGACAGUUCGGUCCCUAUCUGCCGUGGGCGUUGGAGAAUUGAUUGGGGCUGCUCCUAGUACGAGAGGACCGGAGUGGACGCACCACUGGUGUUCCGGUUGUGUCGCCAGACGCAUUGCCGGGUAGCUAAGUGCGGAAGAGAUAAGUGCUGAAAGCAUCUAAGCACGAAACU